UUUUUCUAUUAUUAUUUUUUUUUUUUUUUUCCGCCAAAUUUUGUUCUUGCGAUAAAUGUUUGUUUCGCAAUAUGUCGCUUAGAUUUUUCUCAUAUUGUAUCGUAUAGUUUAUGCGCUUUUAAAUUUCACCCUGCUAAGCCGAACCAUUUUCUUUGUAAGAGUUAUCUCCCUAUUCACUGUUUAUCAUGUGUGUGCAUCUCCUUCGUAACAAAAAAAGAUAGCGACAAAAUUCUUUUUACAAAUUGUUCGUUACAUCCUCAGGAAUUUUUGGCUAAUUUGGAUCGAAGCGAUUCGAUGAAAUUUUAUAGGAGUUAUCUACCUUUACGGAAUAAAUUUGUCGGUAUGUUUUUUUAACUCAUAAACCGUUAACCGUAUAACCCUGGAAUGUUUUUAUUUGAGUCCCCUGGGUCCUAACUUAGAAAAUUAGGUCAAGGUCAAAGGUCAAGGUCAAGUUCUUAAUUGUGACUUUUGCUUGUUUUUGCAUUUUCUCCGACACUUUGAAAGAUACAUACUAAAGAACAAGUGCAAAAUGUCAGCUUUAUUGUAAUGAAGAUAUGCUACAUUUAGUCUUAUACAAUUUAAUGGCAUCUUAAAGGAGUUGUUGCCCCUCAAAUGUCUUGAUAUGAGGUUAUUUGAUUAUGACUUCAACUAAGUUCAUUAUAAAGGCAUUUGACCUUGUACAAAAGAUUAGGUGACAAAUGAC
rnacentral:lncRNA from 1 species